rnacentral:lncRNA from 12 species
CCCUGCCUUGGAGUCGUGGAAUGUUUCCACCAAAUUUUAUUAGAGAAUGCCUUUUCCUGAGAAACUAAUUAAUUAAGGAAAGACCAGACAAAUAAACUGCUAUCCUUCGGAACGGACAGGACUGCAGAGAAGGGCAGCCUGAAGACUAAUGAAUUACUUAGUCUCUUCCACUCGGAGACAUGUCCUUUGAUUAGUGUCCAGGGCUGUUUGCGAGGGGACCCACAGUUUAUGGCUCUGUCCCUUUCUGAGCUUUGUAAGAGGUAAGACACAUUGGUCAGUAUUUCUCACAAACCAAGUGUAUUUCUUCCAAUUAUCACAACUAAAAUCGACACCAAGCAAUUUAGAGGAGAAACUAAUUUAACCUUCAAGCAUUUCAAGGUGCUCUUUAAACUGCUUAAUGUAGAUCUCCGUAUCACAAUGAUUGACAAAGAAUUAUCAGUGUCACCAUAGGAACCAGAAGUGCUUUAUACAGUCCUAAAAGGAUCUGACACAUUUUUCAAAAGACAGACCCCACUGUUACCACCUGCGGUUAAGAGGUUUCAGUUCUUUGGUGGCUCUUAUCUCUAGCAGUCCUUGAUCUUCAUAUUUUAAGGUGUGUUUCACUGGUGAGAGGAAGAAAACCCCUUUUCUAUUGUUCAAUAGUUUCCCUGUUUAUCUCAGCCUUACAAAUGACAGUUGAGGUGACUGCCUAUCCCAUUUGGUUUCUGGUGUGGCUCUAGUUCAAGACCCUUUGAAUACUAACAGGCUGGCUAGAAUGCUGCCAAUGAGCCCAGACACUUCGUAGGGAGCGGAAUUGAAAGCCAGAGUCCUAUUAUAAACACAAAUGCUCCCUUUAUGCUGAACUCUGGGCAGUUGGGACUUGGACAACAGUUGAAACCUUUGCCUUCAACCUUGAGAAUAAAAUCAUGAGAGUAAGAAAGCAAAGGGCCUCUAUUUCCUGGAGGCCAUGAUGUAGGAUUCCAAAAUGGAUGUUUGCUUCUCUCCCAUUCUCCCCGCCACCAAAUGUGCAGGAUCAGCUAUGCUCUCCCAUGAAUUCAAAGAAUCUUGUUACAAAAGGCAAAUAUUUUUCUUCGGAAAUUGAGGGUCACGUAGAAAGCCCAGGAGUGAGGUGAGGAAAGCAAACUUGUGACAUCCUUCUAACCUGUUUCUUUCAACAAAAGGGAUUAAAAACGAUGCACAAGAAUAUACUAGUGAUAUGAAGAAUGUAACAAUAUGGGAGGAUAAAGAGUAAACUAAAUACUUCCUUCUGGAUUCUGUUUUCUGUCCAACCCCACCCCUGUCCUCAAACCUCUUCACUCUUACAUCAUACUCAGAAGCAAAUCUCUGGAAUGGCUUUGUUUUUAGUUCCAGUGGUUGAAUUUUGAAAUGGAAGGGAGAAUGGAGAAAUAGUAAAACAGACUAUUAGAAGUCUAGAUUCACAUAGAUGCUUAGUAUUCCCACUAGAACUAUUGGCCUGCCUUUGAAAGUACAAAAUCAUAAAACAACUUUGGAAAAUCAUAUUGUAUAAUAUACUGAAGUUGACCUAGCCAUUCCCUAUAAAAACUUUGGGAUUAGAAAUGAGACAAGAAUUCUUGUACUCAUCACUUCUAUUCAACUUUAUAUUAUAGUUCUAGCUAGAGAAAUAAGCUUUAAAAAAGAAAGUG